UUGCAACCUAUAAAUAUGUAAAUGUCCUUUCAUCAACAAUAGUCAUCCUUGAUAAAAUGAAGGGAUAGCCACAUGUCUAUCAGUAUUGUAGCAUCUCAAAAUUCUUUGAAACAAUUGGUCUAGUAAAAGAAGAAAACAAAAUUCACAACAAUACCACACUACUACUGCCAUAAUCCAGUAAGAGACCAUCUACUAAUGUGCUAAACAAGGGCAACACCCAAUGGAAAUCAAAUGUGUGCCCUUCAUGUUCAACUUCAAGGUUUCAACCAAUAUGAAUCCCCUUGCUGCAAGCAACCAACAAAUCACAGUUCAGCGAUAACAAGAUCCAGAAAAUCAUAUCUCACCAUGAAACUGAAUCCCCAAACAAUAAUCAACCGCAAUGGACUUGUGCCUCGGCUUAAGGGUGGAUCCGAACAGCCGAUGUCUGGCCAUUGGCUUAGGCAUACUCUAUAGCCGCAAUAGGUCAAUACAUGUCUGUUAAUUGUAACCUGAAAAAAUAGCUAGUAAGUGUCAGAGUAUAGUUGCAAUAGGUUAAGUAAAAUGCAGAUAAGGGGAUGCAAACUGUCAUGAGCUUUCCAUUGAAAUUUUAAUCAGAAAAGAUCAUUAAACUGGGCUGCUAAUGAUAAUUGUUGACCUGUCAUUAGUUUUUGGUGGCCAUACAAAUUUAUUUGAUUGAAAAGUAAAACAGCCAUAGUGAUAGCUCCAGCCAACAACCAAAAAUGUAGUCUCACAAGACAUAAAUGAACAUGCAUAGUCAUUAUACUCAACAAACUGUUAGAUUGCAGGCGACCUAGUAAAACUUUGGAGCUUCUCAAGUUAUAUGGAUUUUCUAGCUAAUAAGUGCGCACUACUGAUAGUUUUUUGUAUCUUGUAAAAACUGAUGCGAUUUUGUUUACAACACGAUGUUUAAGGGGCACCUCCGUGUAGGAUUAUUGCCUUCAUUAAUUCCAGACAUGCAACCUUGCACUAUUCUUGUGCCUAGAGCAGAAAGACAACAAGGAAGCAAUCUUGCUUCCUCAAAAGAAAAUAUACAAUGUGGAAAUUUUACACUGUAAUUUCAAGUCCAAAUUAGACAGCUCCAACAUCAAAUAUACAGCUCAUCAUGACAGAACUGUUCUAUUUACGAGACAUCUCUGUAGGGUAUAGUAUAGUGGUACACCCAAAACCAGCUCUAGAAAGAAAGCGCAAUGGUUAUCACGUGUCGUGUUUUUGGUGGUGAAGGAAAUUCUUGCUAAUGGUAGCAAUCAGUGAUUAGCAUAUAAAAAAAACCUACAGACUCCCUACACCCUGCUACACAUGAUUUGGUACUAUGGCUACUCUGUAAGUUCACAUCAUUCACGAAAUGAGCCAAAUUAUGUUAUCAGUAUGCUACACGAACUGAAGGCAACGAAUUAAUUAAAGCGUCAAUUAGGCAUUUGACAAUCCUGAAUCCUAGGAAAAGGGAUCAAUAUCCAACCUCAAAAUCAAAUGCAUGAAACAGUCCUGGUACAAAGCCACUCACCAUGGUCCUCAUGUUCUCGCCACCGACGACCAUUGUGUCAACAGAAGAUCGUAAUGGAACCUAUCCCUUCUUUUCCUCCCCCUGCUACCUCCUCCGAGUCACCACAAAAGCUCCUUGCAUCGCAGAUAUGCUCAUGUAUGAGGUUUUCGCUACAUGAAAAGUGCCAAAAGGUCACCACGUUUCCUUGGUCACAAAAUAUUAUAGGAACUAUCUUUUGCUGAGCAUUUUAUAUAGCUAGUGAAUUAAAUGACGACUUGCAUUGCUGGGACACCAUCACAGAUGUAUUUGCAUCAAGGUAAAAGAGAGGAAACAGUACCACACCACUUUACCAGCUUUCAAGAUACUUCCGGCUGCAAGGGGAGCAUCAAUAGGUUCAUUCUCCUGGGUAAGCACAUCCUCAUCGAGUGACUUCGUCAUGCAGGAGGUUCGAGUGCUCCUAGAUAUCCUUGAGCUUGACACCAUUAGGGCUAGUGAUCUGAAGAUGACUUGAUGAGCUAUAUGGAUGGUCACUGAUAGCCUUGAGCUUUGACAUCAUGUCGGUUAAAGUGGGGAUCAUCAUUGGGCUAGCUAUAGAAACCACUGCUACUAAUAAUAAAAAGUUAAAACACACGACAAAAAACGCCGUUUAAUGAGAUGUACUUUAACUGAUCCUAUCCAAAUUAAUACACAUAGCAAUUGCUUUGACAAAAUCUGCUUAAUAACAACAGCAGUAAAAGUAGAACAGCAGUACCAGCAUCCCAUCAUGCACAUAGACCACUAUGAGAACUCACCGUAAAGCCUUAUCAAACUCCGGAAGUAUUCAGGUUCUUUGAUUUUCAAUAGCUAGAGUCGCACCUGAGGCACGCUCAAGAUUUUUUAUCCUACUGAUGACACACUUGGUAGUGUCCCGGUGAUUUAUCUGGGCGGCGAUUUAUCUACUACACACAGGAGCUGCACGUCCUCUCUGAGUUGUUCUUCUGUUGCGGCUAUAGAUCUGGGUGGACAUCGCCGCCUCACGUCCUCCCACUGACGUGGCCCCACCAUCUCAACGCACUGACGCCCUCGCCCUAGGUUGCAGCCUCCGCGCCCAUUGAAGUCCUUCCAGUCCUCACAACAUUGGCAGCAUGAACUGAAGAGCUGCCAGUCCUCACAACAUCGGCGGUGUGAACUGAAGAGCAGUGGCAGACAAAGCUUCGACUCUUGUGUAGACAAUGUUUGAGAUCAGAGGAAUAAAAAUAUUCAGAGGACUAACACUCCAUUGAGAGAGGAAAUCAAUGGAGCUGAACAUGCCUUGAACUUCGGCUCUCCUUUCUUGGUUUUCUUUUGAUUUCAGUAAACUUGACUACAUAACAGAUACUACUAUUGUACAACAUUUUGUUACUUUUAUUAUUUAACAGUGUAAAAAGAAAUUAAGUCAAGAUCUUGAAGAAUGCUAAAAAUAUAUAUCUAAAUGUCCAUGCAUUGUUCCCAGAUGUUGAUUCCAACGCUGCAAGUUGUCUGCACAAUCCUUCAUAUAUAUGUGGUAAGAAAAAAUAUCAUAGAACUUCUAAUGUUUGCGCCAAUGAAUAUAUACCAGAAUCAACUUUUUUUAGCUAUUCAAAGCUACAAAAUAGAGAUUAAUUAGAGGGGGGGGGAGUAGAGGCUGCUCACUUGCUCUGUAACAUAUAAGCUAGAAAGCCAUGAUACGGCAGUUUGUGAUCAACUAUUCUAGGUAUGAACAUCUUCUACUAUUGAGUGUCAAUUCGAGAAACAAAGUCCCACAUGUCCUCUUAUUACUAAGUAGCAGUAAGUGUUGAAUUAAGAAGCAAUAUGUCAUAUUGUGCAGCUAGAGGAAAUGAGCAAAUCAGUCAUGAAAAUUGACUUACAAUAGUCUUCCUGAGGGCAUCCAAUUCUAGAUGCUAGCAAGAAUUUCUCAUGAAUUCUUCGAGCUUUAAGGUAGACUACUAUUGUUGGUUCUGUUUCUUUUGCAUUUCCAUCGGAAUCAUGCUAUCCAAUUAACUACUAAUUCAGGUUCUGUUUCUUUGGCAUUUCCAUCAGAAUCAUGAUUUCGAAUUAACUAUAUUAGGCUCAUAGGAACUGAGAGACCCACAAAAUUUACAUUACCAGUCACAUUAAGGAAACCAUACUUGCAUGACAUGUAUUAAGCUAGAAAAUUAUACUUUCAGGCUGAUCAUUUGUCGAUCGGCUCUGACAAAAAUAAAUCCCUGGAGCAAAUAUGUGACCAUAUAUGUUCGAUCAUGAGCCAAGAUUCUUGCAUAGAGAAUCAAGCAACAAAUAAUGAGGAUUGCACAUGCAGAGGUAGCAAAGAAGACCAUGCCAAAAAUAAGUUAUUGGAACACCCAACCGUAGUCUUCAGCUAGGAGCUAAAGUAAAACAUACUUCUACAUUCUUACACCAAGCAAGCAAGUAUUGAGAUUAAAUCUCUACUAUUAACUUGGAAGUUGUAAUAUAUAAAACAUGUUGCUGAAGUUGUGUUGAGAGAAGGAAGGUACCUGACUAAAGAGUUCAGAACAAAAUAAUCCAAUACGUUGAAAUGUAUCCAAUGAUUUACCAGAUGAUAUAUCUCAUCUAACCAGAACAAUGAAUCCCAUGCCAUACCUGCUGAUAUAUUAUGACUUCAAUUAACCAGCACAAUGAAUCCCGCCAACAAACAUAACUUUCCAAACUUGCAUGCUCCUCUACUAAUAUGCUCCUCUACUAACCUGUUACCCAAACUGUGAGAAAUCUGCCAACCAUCUGUUUGCUGGCAACCAAACAAUACCUGGACACCUGGUAAAAACACAAUAUUUGUCUUACUGCAUGAACUUAACAGAAGCAUCAUCAAGAAGGUAGGAUAGGACUGCUGAGCACAAAUAGUUGCAGAUAAUUUUAAAUAUAUUAACAUUUAAAAGAGAAAUAUUAAGAUAUUUAAAGAACAAGCAUAUGAAAUUUAAUGGUACAUGCCAAAAGAAAAUACCUAGAAGUAUUUGGCUGCUCUUCAUCUCCUUCCAUUGGUGUUUAAGUACCAUAGCCAUAUGGGAAUGGUGAAAAAUAUGCUCCAUUACUUGUAUCCUCCUCAAUAUACUCAUCGACUGGUGAUCCGAUACACUUGAAAUUUCUAUCAAAAUCGCUCGGCCUGACUCCUAUGUUAACAGGGUCGCACACACUAAACCUACGGGCCAAUAUUGGUUGUGAGAACAUAUCAUUUCCUGAAACCCUUAAACUCCGACUAAGGUUUCGGAAUGAUAGUGGUGGAAAGUGAUGAGCUAUCAUGUCUUCUCAAUGAUACCUUAAAAUCAGCAUCUAGUUCCACAACCGGAUCAGGGACAGGGAAUGGCGUGUGAUAGCCAGCAUGAAUGCUAGACCCAGCGUUCUUGUUUAGUGUCCUCGUAAUAAGUGAUAUCCGAGCACAUAGAUAUCAGCAGGGGGUGAAGAAUGGAGUCAGUCAUCUAAAUUAACCCCCUUGAUGGGCAUUGGCCACCAACAUUCCACGUCGACACAAAGAAUCUGCACAGAUAAGGAAGCAAAAUAAUGACGUCUCAGAAUGCGCCAGCGAAGUAGAAUUACGAAAACCACCUAAGGUACUAUGAUCUGAAUAACAUGAACAGUAGCACAGCAGAUCCCUAUUGCAAUGUAGGAGCACAGACAGUGAACAGGUGGUACCUGUAAUCUUGGGCUUUUGUCAGGCGUGACACAUCAAAUUCAUUCCCUGAUCUAUGAACAUGAAUUUCGCUUCAACGACCGUUCUGAAGUAGGCCCAAAAGGAACAACAUAAACAGAAUAACCAACAAUCAGAUAAGUUGGGCUGCUCCAACAAACAAUCGGAUAAGUAGAUUGUUUAUAUUUAUAUUUGGCAAAAGAGGCAUAGAAUAACCAACAAUUUGAUUGCACACACGUUCAAACUGGACGGAUACGUGCACAUUAGCAAACACCACCAAGUUAUGUCCAGACCAUUUGCAAUCAAAAGAUGAGAUGUGCAGGGAAGGGGGUGGAGCUCACCACACCAGGCCAGGGGGUAGGAGGAGGGAGUAGGCAGCCGCAACAUCCAUGAGGGAGGGCUCGUCCUCGUCCACCUGAAGCAGUAGGAGCAGCAGCUGGUCCAGAUCCGAGCAACCUACACAGAAAACAAAGGAAAGGAAAGGAAUCACAAGGAGGGGGCAUGAAGAAACCGACAAGACAAGGGAAGGAGGCGCGCGCACCAUGGUCGGAGGUCGCCGGAGAUGGCCUGCAGCUGGCGCGCGUCCUUUCCUUGGAGGUAGGCGUCGGACCUCCACGGGUAGCUAGGGUUUCGGGCGUCUCAGUCCAUGGCUGCAGCCGGGUCGGACCUCCAUGCACGAUCUCGAGGGACGGCGGCCUGCCGGUGCGGCCGCGGAUCUGGGCGCUGCCCCCCCCCCCCUGCCGCCGGAUCCCUUCCAUUCCCUUCCCUCCAUUGGGAAAGGGAGAGAAAGUGAGGGGGAGGAGGAGGCCGCCGGCAGUGUCUCCAUGGCCGGGCAGGGCUCCUCCCGCCUACCCGCGAUGGGAGGUGGCGGGGGCGGCAGCGACGGGCGCUGGCGCACCGCGAGACGGGUUAGCUUUUGAGGGAGGAAGAUGGGGGAGGGGAUCGGCGGCGGCUGCGAGGGCGAGGGCGAGGGCGGCGACUUGAUGUGCGAGGGCAACGGCGAAGGGACCUGGAGGCUUCGCUCGCUCGCUCGCUCGUUCGCACGUUGCCACCCAGCAUGGUUUUUUUCGCUGGUUUUUCUUCGGAGGUUUAUUUUCGUUCGAUUCUGUCGCUUGCGAGAGAAUUACGUGAACGUUGUUUUGGUUGGGUUUUUUUUGGAACGGGGAGGUGGGAGCGGGCACCAAAAAAAACCAUGCUGGGUGGGAGGUGGAUGCAAGUACCAAAGAAGUACAAAAAACCCGGAUGAGGUGGGACGAAAAUAAAACCCGAAACGCGACCUACCAACUGAGAAAUUAGGAGUAGAGAUUAUGUUGGCUUAUUUUUUUAGGUACAUUCAUUCAUUUGUUAUGCCUUCUCAUGUUACAAGUGGGGCCAGAGCAUCAUCAAGAGAGAGAGAGGGUGGCAAGGCAGGAAUGCGGGGAAGCUAAUGGCCGUUGGAUCGAGGGAUCUGACGGCUGCCUUAAAACAAAGCGCGUACUGCUUCGGGGUUUUGGUGGGCUGUGGGCUGUCUUGGCUAGAGCUUGCUGGGAUGUGCCAGCACUGGAAUUGAGCAUAUGAAUUGAGUAAACUGGAUAAUUUCCCCGCGCGUUGCUGCCAGAAUAUAAAGAUUAAUUACAUAUGACUUAUAUAUGAUGAAAAAGAUAUAAAUCAAAAGCUACUAAUUUUAACAUAUAAAUAUUCCGUACUUGCAUUCUGUGUAAAUCACGACAUUUCACAACCUUCUGGAAGUAAAUAAAUUAAAUAAUUACCUAAUCUAUUACAUAUGUCGAGUGACAAAAAUAAAUAUAUUGGUAUGGUUUGCGUGGGCUGAAAAAAUAUUAAUGUAUGGUGAAGUGGGAUGCUUUGCAUGUUGAGAGAAUUAGUGAUAAUGAAAUAAGGUUUGCAUGGGCUGAAAAUAUUAUUAGUGGAUGCUGACGUGGCACACUUGGUGAGGUGGAUGGUUUGCAUGUUGAGAGAAUUAGAAGUAGUGGUGAUCAACUAUUUAGGUAUUAUAAAUUGAUGUAUACAAUAGUAGAAUUAAUGACUUUUUUUACUUAUCAAUGAUGACAAAGCAUGACAUAUUGUCAACGUAUGAGUGAAUCAAACUUAGAGGACAAAUUUCUCAGUUCAAUUUUGCAGUAGAAGACUCUACAAAUAUGCUACCUAACAAAACACUAGAAAGUAUAUAAUUAGACUAUAUGCUUUGAGAUCUCCAGAUCAUGAUAAUUGAUGAUAUUAAAAUAUAUAAAAACACACACACACACACACACACACACACACACAGCACAUACAAAUACUUGUAAUUUAUAACAUUGUUAAAGUUAGUUAAAAAAUAAAUUUUAAUUUACAUAAUCAAUUCUUUUAAUGAUAUACAUAAUGAAUAUUAUAAUUAAUAUUUGGCAGCAUUAUUAUAUGGUUAACUGUUGAAACUAAAUAAAAAUAUUCUUGUUAUAAUUGUAUUGUAAUAAUAUAAAUUUUAAGUAAAUAAAAAAGUUUUGGUAUAAAUUUUUAAUUUAAUUCGCUCUAAAUUUAGUUAUUAUAAAUGAAAUCGGUUUCACUGAUAGCGGAAACGGCCCAUGGACUUGCUCAUCUAGUAAAGCAGCGGUAUUGGCAAACUAUGAGAACAAAAUGGAGAACUACUACUAAAUACUCUUUGCAAUAAUAACAAAUAAACAAUUUUAAUAAAAGUGAUUCAAAUAUAAAUGAGUAUUGACAGACAUAAACCUAACAAUGCAAUAAUAUAGUUUAUAGACAGAAUAACAAAAUAAAUAUAGAACACCAAAAAUUAUAACUGAACCAUAAACAAGACUGAGCAAAAAUAAAACUGAAAAGUAUAAACUGAACUUGGAAAACAUAUAAAUUUAUACUGAAAUAAAAAAUUGAUCUAAUGAAGGAUAGGGCAGACUAAAAAAUAUAAUGAUGAAUCAAAUUAAAUACUGAAAAAUUAUAACUAAUGACUAUGGAACUGAAUUAAUGCUCAGAAAAAUGAUCUACAAACACAAGCAAUGCAGUAAAAGGAACAAAAACUAAAACUAAACCUAAAAACUAAUUGCAGAGAUCACACACACACGAUAUUUUCUGUGUGGUGAACACGUGAAUCAAGGUGGGGAAGUAUUUAUGCCCUGCAGGUUGCGAAAAUGCAGGCCGCGGUUCAAUGCUAAUGUAAAAUGUCACUCAACAGGCAAUGUUGGGAUUUGCGAAUCAUAUCUAAUUAAGCAACUUCGAGCUAGACAAAAGAAACACACACUAGGUGUUAAGUAAAUACUACUCACUACAUAGGCUUGAAUCUGAAUAAUCAAGUACAAGAAUUAGCUCAUAUGAGUGACCUGAGUGAGUACAGGAGCAUGAGCUAAAUAUGCAUGUCGCUCUGCUUCUAAACACAUAGACCGUGCGCAUAUUUCUGGACAAAAGCCGACUAAGGGAUCCAAGUAUUCCUUCCUCCAUGCUACACCAACAGAACGCAAAAAAUGUCGCAGGAAACAUGACUGGCCAUUAGCAGAGACCCUGCAAAAAAAUCCUGGGCGGAGUCGCUACAUCGAGCGGAGAGGUGGCUACAGAAAUCAGCAAGCGGCGAUGCUAAACGAGGAUGAUGGAGAGGACAAAGAGUUGAGUGCAAAGGAGGGGGGAAAGGGAGAAAGGUCCGUACAUGUCUUGCGGCUGGCGAUGACCGGUGGUUCCGCUCCGGCGGACCACCACUCGCUCAUGGCACACUCGAUGUGAGAGCCCCGCUAGCCUCAUCCAUCUCCUUUCUCCCCUGCUGCUCGCCUACAGCCUCCACCCCUCCUCCCGCCGUUGCCGGCAUCUAGUCAAAAUUUGGCAUGAAGACAAUUCAAAAACAGACUGCUGGUUUUUUGUAAAGCCGUUACAACAUCAUUGAUUCACUAGACCGUAAAACAAUUUGCUAUCUGUAAGUUCUUGUUUGUUGUCGACCAAUCGCUGGCAUGUCAAUCAACAAGCAUAGAAGCACAUCCUUUUAUUGUAAGCGAUGCUACGAUCCUUAUGAAUGAAUAAAGGAGAUAAUUGUAAAAAAACAAAAGGCAUAGAAGCACAUUUGUGCCUUAAAUUUCACAUAUUUUGUGCAGAAUGGAACCACCCAAUCAUCCACCGAUCAAGAUUACCAAAAAAUUAAAAAUAUUGCAUUUGAACCAAACCAUUCAUCGUUUACUUAAUUAUUACUUAGAACAUCAUAACAUAAACAUUACUAAAAAUCGUUGCAAAUGCCACAAUAAAGCGCAAAAUUAAUAUAUAUUUUUCUGAUCACCUCUCUCAAUAGCAAGCAAACUUAUUCGUACAAUUACCCCAUGUGAGUAAGACUCAUUAUGGUAAUUACUGUAGGAUGAGUUAAUUAAUUAACUUCCACUAUGUUGGCUGCCACCGACGCCAUCUUGGCCUCCUCCCGUUCACUCUGCUCCUUCACGACCUUGUGCUCCUCGCCGGCGACCGGCGGCUUCGUGGCCUCCUCCUUUUCCUCCUCCUCGCCGGUGACCGGCGGUUUCGUGGCCUCGGCCUUCUCCUCUUGAACGGCAACCGGCGGCUCCUCAACCUCCUCAACAUGUUGAUCAUUCGUCUUCUUGAGGACCUUGCGCUUGAGGUGCUGCCUGAAGGUGCACGGCUCGAAGCACGGCAGCUUGGCACCAUCCACAAGGAGCUCCGGGAGCGGGCGCAGUAGCACGGAGUCGGGCGGCGGCUCGGCGAAGACGACCCAGGAGAUGUGCAUGGCCCGCCGGUUGACAAGCCCACGGUGGAGCACGCUGGUGUUGAAGGAAAUAUGCCCUAGAGGCAAUAAUGAAGUUAUUAUUUAUUUCCUCAUAUCAUGAUAAAUGUUUAUUAUUCAUGCUAGAAUUGUAUUAACCGGAAACAUGAUUCAUGUGUGAAUACAUAGACAAACAUAUAGUCACUAGUAUGCCUCUACUUGACUAGCUCAUUAAUCAAAGAUGGUUAUGUUUCCUAACCAUAGACAUGUGUUGUCAUUUGACUAAUGGGAUCACAUCAUUAGGAGAAUGAUGUGAUUGACAUGACCCAUUCCGUUAGCCUAGCACUUGAUCGUUUAGUAUGUUGCUAUUGCUUUCUUCAUGACUUAUACAUGUUCCUGUAACUAUGAGAUUAUGCAACUCCCGUUUACUGGAGGAACACUUUGGGUGCUACCAAACGUCAUAACGUAACUGGGUGAUUAUAAUGGAGUACUACAGGUGUCUCCAAAGGUACAUGUUGGGUUGGCGUAUUUCGAGAUUAGGUUUUGUCACUCCGAUUAUCGGAGAGGUAUCUCUGGGCCCUCUCGGUAAUGCACAUCACUAUAAGCCUUGCAAGCAAUGUAGCUAAUGAGUUAGUUACGGAAUGAUGCAUUACAUAACGAGUAAAGAGACUUGCCGGUAACGAGAUUGAACUAGGUAUUGGAUACCGACGAUCGAAUCCCGGGCAAGUAACAUACCGAUGACAAAGGGAACAACGUAUGUUGUUAUGCGGUUUGACCGAUAAAGAUCUUUGUAGAAUGUGUAGGAGCCAAUAUGAGCAUCCAGGUUCCGCUAUUGGUUAUUGACCGAGAAUAGUUCUAGGUCAUGUCUACAUAGUUCUUGAACCCGUAGGGUCCGCACGCUUAAUGUUACGAUGACAGUUUUAUUAUGAGUUUAUAAGUUUUGAUGUACCGAAGAUUGUUCGGAGUCCCGGAUGUGAUCACGGACAUGACGAGGAGUCUCGAAAUGGUCGAGACAUAAAGAUUGAUAUAUUGGAAGCCUAUAUUUGGAUAUCGGAAUGGUUCCGGGUGAAAUCAGGAUUUUACCAUAACACCGGGGGGUUACCGGAACCCUCCCGGGGGUUAGUGGGCCUUAGUGGGCCAUGAUGGAGAAGAGGAGGGCCGGCCAGGGCAGGCCGCACGCUCCCUCCCCCCUAGUCCGAAUAGGACAAGGAAGGGACGGGCGGCGCCCCCCUUUCCUCUUUCCCCUCCCUCCUUUCCUUCUCCACCAAGGCAAGAGGGGGGAGUCCUACUCCCGGUGGGAGUAGGACUCCUCCAGGCGCACCCCUAGAGGGUCGGCUGCACCUCCCCCUCCCUCCUUUAUAUACGGGGGCGGGGGGGCACCCUAGAACACACAAGUUGAUCUUCAAGAUCGUUCCUUAGCCGUGUGCGGUGCCCCCCUCCACCAUAUUCCACCUCGGUCAUAUCGUCGCGGAGUUUAGGCGAAGCCCUGCGUCGGUAGAACAUCGUCAUCAUCACCACGCCGUCGUGCUGACGGAACUCAUCCCCGACACUUUGCUGGAUCGGAGUUCGGGGAUCGUCAUCGAGCUGAACGUGUGCUGAACUCGGAGGUGACGUACGUUCGGUACUUGGAUCGGUCGGAUCGUGAAGACUUACGACUACAUCAACCGCAUUGUCAUAACGCUUCCGCUUAUGGUCUACGAGGGUACAUGGACAAUACUCUCCCCUCUCGUUGCUAUGCAUCACCAUGAUCUUGCGUGUGCGUAGGAAAUUUUUGAAAUUACUACGUUCCCCAACAGUGGCAUCCGAGCCUGGUUUUAUGCGUAGAUGUCAUAUGCACGAGUAGAACACAAGUGAGUUGUGGGCAAUACAAGUCAUACUACUUACCAGCAUGUCAUACUUUGGCUUAGCGGUAUUGUGAGAUGAAGCGGCCCAGACCGACAUUACGCGUACGCUUACGCGAGACUGGUUUCACCAUUACGAGCACUCGUGCUUAAAGGUGACUGGCGGGUGUCUGUCUCUCUCACUUUAGUUGAAUCGAGUGUGGCUACGCCCGGUCCUUGCGAAGGUUAAAACAGCACUAACUUGACGAACUAUCGUUGUGGUUUUGAUGCAUAGGUAAGAACGGUUCUUGCUCAGCCCGUAGCAGCCACGUAAAAUUUGCAACAACAAAGUAGAGGACGUCUAACUUGUUUUUGCAGGGCAUGUUGUGAUGUGAUAUGGUCAAGACGUGAUGCUAUAUUUUAUUGUAUGAGAUGAUCAUGUUUUGUAACCGAAGUUAUCGGCAACUGGCAGGAGCCAUAUGGUUGUCGCUUUAUUGUAUGAAAUGUAAAGGCCCUGUAAUUGCUUUACUUUAUCACUAAGCGGUAGCGAUAGUCGUAGAAGCAAUAGAUGGCGUAACGACAACGAUGCUACGAUGGAGAUCAAGGUGUCGCGCCGGUGACAAUGGUGAUCACGACGGUGCUUUGAAGAUGGAGAUCACAAGCACAAGAUGAUGAUGGCCAUAUCAUAUCACUUAUAUUGAUUGCAUGUGAUGUUUAUCCUUUAUGCAUCUUAUCUUGCUUUGAUUGACGGUAGCAUUUUAAGAUGAUCUCUCACUAAAAUUAUCAAGAAGUGUUCUCCCUGAGUAUGCACCGUUGCGAAAGUUCUUCAUGCUGAGACACCACGUGAUGAUCGGGUGUGAUAGGCUCUACGUUCAAAUACAACGGGUGUAAAACAGUUGCACACGCGGAAUACUCAGGUUAAACUUGACGAGCCUAGCAUAUAACAGAUAUGGCCUCAGAACACGGAGCCGAAAGGUCGAGCGUGAAUCAUAUAGUAGAUAUGAUCAACAUAUUGAUGUUCACUGUUGAAACUACUCCAUCUCACGUGAUGAUCGGACAUGGUGUAGUUGAUAUGGAUCACGUAAUCACUUAGAAGAUUAGAGGGAUGUCUAUCUAAGUGGGAGUUCUUUAGUAAUAUGAUUAAUCGAACUUAAAUUUAUCAUGAACUUAGUACCUGAUAGUAUUUUGCUUGUCUAUGUUUGUUGUAGAUAGAUGGCUCGUGCUGUUGUUCUGUUGAAUUUUAAUGCGUUCCUUGAGAAAGGAAAGUUGAAAGAUGAUGGUAGCAAUUACACGGACUGGGUCCGUAACCUGAGGAUUAUCCUCAUUGCUGCACAGAAGAAUUACAUCAUGGAAGCACCGCUGGGUGCCAGGCCUGCUGCCGAUGCAACUGACGACGUUAAGAACGUCAGGCAGAGCAAAGUUGAUGACUACUCGAUAGUUCAGUGUGCCAUGCUUUACGGUUUAGAACCGGGUCUUUAACGACGUUUUGAGAUGUUCCCGGAUUGAGAGAUAUGAAGUCUCCAAUAAGUUCUAUAGCUGCAAGAUGGAGGAGAAUAGUUCUGUCAGUGAACACAUACUCAAAAUGUCUGGGUAUAAUAAUCACUUGAUUCAACUGGGAGUUAAUCUUCCUGAUGAUAGUGUCAUUGACAGAAUUCUUCAAUCACUGCCACCAAGCUACAAGAGCUUCGUGAUGAACUAUAAUAUGCAAGGGAUGGACAAGACUAUUCCCGAGCUCUUCGCAAUGCUAAAAGCCACGGAGGUAGAAAUCAAGAAGGAGCAUCAAGUGCUGAUGGUCAGCAAGACCACCAGUUUCAAGAAAAAGGGCAAAGGGAAGAAGAAAGGGAACUUCAAGAAGAACAGCAAACAAGUUGCUGCUCAAGAGAAGAAACCCAAGUCUGGACCUAAGCCUGAAACUGAGUGCUUCUACUGCAAGCAGACUGGACACUAGAAGCGGAACUGCCCCAAGUAUUUGGCGGAUAAGAAAGAUGGCAAAGUGAACAAAGGUAUAUGUGAUAUACAUGUUAUUGAUGUGUACCUUACUAGUGCUCGCAGUAGUACCUGGGUAUUUGAUACUGGUUCUGUUGCUAAUAUUUGCAACUCGAAACAGGGACUACGGAUUAAGCGGAGAUUGGCUAAGGACGAGGUGACGAUGCGCGUGGGAAAUGGUUCCAAAGUCGAUGUGAUCACAGUCGGCACGCUACCUCUACAUCUACCAUCGGGAUUAGUUUUAGACCUAAAUAAUUGUUAUUUGGUGCCAGCGUUGAGCAUGAACAUCUGGAUCUUGUUUAAUGCGAGACGGUUAUUCAUUUAAGUCAGAGAAUAAUGGUUGUUCUAUUUAUAUGAGUAAUAUCUUUUAUGGUCAUGCACCCUUGAAGAGUGGUCUAUUUUUAUUGAAUCUAGAUAGUAGUGAUACACAUAUUCAUGGUGUUGAAACCAAAAGAUGCAGAGUUGAUAAUGAUAGUGCAACUUAUUUGUGGCACUGCCGUUUAGGUCAUAUCGGUGUAAAGCGCAUGAAGAAACUCCAUACUGAUGGGCUUUUGGAAUCACUUGAUUAUGAAUCACUUGGUACUUGCGAACCGUGCCUCAUGGGCAAGAUGACUAAAACGCCGUUCUCCGGAACUAUGGAGCGAGCAACUGAUUUGUUGGAAAUCAUACAUACUGAUGUUUGUGGUCCAAUGAAUGUUGAGGCUCGCGGCGGGUAUCGUUAUUUUCUCACCUUCACAGAUGAUUUAAGCAGAUAUGGGUAUAUCUACUUAAUGAAACACAAUUCUGAAACAUUUGAAAAGUUCAAAGAAUUUCAGAGUGAAGUGGAAAAUCAUCGUAACAAGAAAAUAAAAUUUCUACGAUCUGAUCGUGGAGGAGAAUAUUUGAGUUACGAGUUUGGUUUACAUUUGAAACAAUGCGGAAUAGUUUCGCAACUCACGCCACCCGGAACACCACAAUGAAAUGGUGUGUCCGAACGUCGUAAUCGUACUUUACUAGAUAUGGUGCGAUCUAUGAUGUCUCUUACUGAUUUACCGCUAUCGUUUUGGGGUUAUGCUUUAGAGACGGCCGCAUUCACGUUAAAUAGGGCACCAUCAAAAUCCGUUGAGACGACGCCUCAUGAACUGUGGUUUGGCAAGAAACCAAAGUUGUCGUUUCUUAAAGUUUGGGGCUGCGAUGCUUAUGUGAAGAAACUUCAACCAGAUAAGCUCGAACCCAAAUCGGAGAAAUGUGUCUUCAUAGGAUACCCAAAAGAGACUGUUCACUACACCUUCUAUCACAGAUCUGAGGGCAAGAUUUUCGUUGCUAAAUUCAGAUCCUUUCUAGAGAAGGAGUUUCUCUCGAAAGAAGUGAGUGGGAGGAAAGUAGAACUUGAUGAGGUAACUGUACCUGCUCCCUUAUUGGAAAGUAGUUCAUCACAAGAACCGGUUCCUAUGACAACUACACCAAUUAGUGAGGAAGCUAAUGAUAUUGAUCAUGAAACUUCAGAUCAAGUUUCUGUUGGAAAUAUGCCCUAGAGGCAAUAAUAAAUUAGUUAUUAUUAUAUUUCCUUGUUCAUGAUAAUCGUUUAUUAUCCAUGCUAGAAUUGUAUUGAUAGGAAACUCAGAUACAUGUGUGGAUACAUAGACAACACCAUGUCCCUAGUAAGCCUCUAGUUGACUAGCUCGUUGAUCAAUAGAUGGUGACGGUUUCCUGACCAUGGACAUUGGAUGUCGUUGAUAACGGGAUCACAUCAUUAGGAGAAUGAUGUGAUGGACAAGACCCAAUCCUAAGCUUAGCUCAAAGAUCGUGUAGUUCGUAUGCUAAAGCUUUUCUAAUGUCAAGUAUCAUUUCCUUAGACCAUGAGAUUGUGCAACUCCCGGAUACCGUAGGAGUGCUUUGGGUGUGCCAAACGUCACAACGUAACUGGGUGGCUAUAAAGGUACACUACGGGUAUCUCCGAAAGUGUCUGUUGGGUUAGCACGAAUCGAGACUGGGAUUUGUCACUCCGUGUAAACGGAGAGGUAUCUCUGGGCCCACUCGAUAGGACAUCAUCAUAAUGUGCACAAUGUGAUCAAGGAGUUGAUCACGGGAUGAUGUGUUACGGAACGAGUAAAGAGACUUGCCGGUAACGAGAUUGAACAAGGUAUCGGGAUACCGACGAUCGAAUCUCGGGCAAGUAUCGUACCGCUAGACAAAGGGAAUUGUAUACGGGAUUGAUUAAGUCCUUGACAUCGUGGUUCAUCCGAUGAGAUCAUCGUAGAACAUGUGGGAGCCAACAUGGGUAUCCAGAUCCCGCUGUUGGUUAUUGACCGGAGAACGUCUCAGUCAUGUUUGCAUGUCUCCCGAACCCGUAGGGUCUACACACUUAAGGUUCGGUGACGCUAGAGUUAUAUAGAUAUUAGUAUGCAGUAACCCGAAAGUUGUUCGGAGUCCUGGAUGAGAUCUUGGACAUCACGAGGAGUUCCGGAAUGGUCUGGAGGUAAAGAAUUAUAUAUAGGAAGUGCUAUUUCGGCCAUCGGGACAAGUUUCGGGGUCACCGGUAUUGUACCGGGACCACCGGAAGGGUCCCGGGGGUCCACCGGGUGGGGCCACCUGCCCCGGGGGCCACAUGGGCUGUAGGGGGUGCACCUUGGCCUACAUGGGCCAAGGGCACCAGCCCCUAAAGGCCCAUGCACCAAAGGGACAAGAGGAGGGGAGAGUCCUAAAGGGGGAAGGCACCUCCGAGGUGCCUUGGGGAGGAUGGACUCCUUCCCCCCCUUGGCCGCACCCUUCCUUGGAGGAAGGGGAAAUGCUGCGCCCUCCCCUCCCUUGGCCCUAUACAUAGUGGGGGGAAGGGAGGGCAACCACAUCUAAGCCCUCGCGCCUCCCUCUCCCUCCCAUGACACAUCUCCCUCCUCCCGCAGCGCUUGGUGAAGCCCUGUUGGAAUCCCGCUACUUCCACCACCACGCCGUCGUGCUGUUGGAUCUCCAUAAACCUCUCCUCCCCCCUUGCAGGAUCAAGAAAGAGGAGACGUCUCUGCUCCGUACAUGUGUUGAACGCGGAGGUGCCGUCCGUUCGGCGCUAGGAUCAUCGAUGAUUUGGAUCACGACGAGUACGUCUCCAUCAACCCCGUUCUCUUGAACGCUUCCGCGCGCGAUCUAGAAGGGUAUGUAGAUCCACUCCUCCCUCGUUGCUAGAUGACUCCAUAGAUAGAUCUUGGUGACACGUAGGAAAAUUUUGAAUUUAUGCUACGUUCCCCAACAGUGGCAUCAUGAGCUAGGUCUAUGCGUAGUUUCUAUGCACGAGUAGAACACAAAGUAGUUGUGGGCGUUGAUUUGUUCAAUAUGCUUGCCGUUACUAGUCUUAUCUUGAUUCGGCAGCAUCGUGGGAUGAAGUGGCCCGGACCGACCUUACACGUACUCUUACGUGAGACUGGUUCCACCGACUGACAUGCACUAGUUGCAUAAGGUGGCUAGCGGGUGUCUGUCUCUCCCACUUUAGUCGGAUCGGAUUCGAUGAAAAGGGUCCUUAUGAAGGGUAAAUAGCAAUUGGCAUAUCAUGUUGUGGUCUUUGCGUAGGUAAGAAACGUUCUUGCUAGAAACCCAUAAGCAGCCACGUAAAACAUGCAAACAAC
rnacentral:lncRNA from 1 species